rnacentral:rRNA from 1 species
AGAUUGAACGCUGGCGGCAUGCCUUACACAUGCAAGUCGAACGGCAGCACGGGUGCUUGCACCUGGUGGCGAGUGGCGAACGGGUGAGUAAUACAUCGGAACAUGUCCUGUAGUGGGGGAUAGCCCGGCGAAAGCCGGAUUAAUACCGCAUACGAUCUACGGAUGAAAGCGGGGGACCUUCGGGCCUCGCGCUAUAGGGUUGGCCGAUGGCUGAUUAGCUAGUUGGUGGGGUAAAGGCCCACCAAGGCGACGAUCAGUAGCUGGUCUGAGAGGACGACCAGCCACACUGGGACUGAGACACGGCCCAGACUCCUACGGGAGGCAGCAGUGGGGAAUUUUGGACAAUGGGCGAAAGCCUGAUCCAGCAAUGCCGCGUGUGUGAAGAAGGCCUUCGGGUUGUAAAGCACUUUUGUCCGGAAAGAAAUCCUGAGGGCUAAUAUCCUUCGGGGAUGACGGUACCGGAAGAAUAAGCACCGGCUAACUACGUGCCAGCAGCCGCGGUAAUACGUAGGGUGCGAGCGUUAAUCGGAAUUACUGGGCGUAAAGCGUGCGCAGGCGGUUUGUUAAGACCGAUGUGAAAUCCCCGGGCUCAACCUGGGAACUGCAUUGGUGACUGGCAAGCUAGAGUAUGGCAGAGGGGGGUAGAAUUCCACGUGUAGCAGUGAAAUGCGUAGAGAUGUGGAGGAAUACCGAUGGCGAA